rnacentral:rRNA from 1 species
ACGGAAGGCAGCAGUGGGGAAUAUUGCACAAUGGGCGAAAGCCUGAUGCAGCGACGCCGCGUGAGUGAAGAAGUAUUUCGGUAUGUAAAGCUCUAUCAGCAGGGAAGAAAAAUGACGGUACCUGACUAAGAAGCACCGGCUAAAUACGUGCCAGCAGCCGCGGUAAUACGUAUGGUGCAAGCGUUAUCCGGAUUUACUGGGUGUAAAGGGAGCGCAGGCGGUACGGCAAGUCUGAUGUGAAAGCCCGGGACUCAACCCCGGUACUGCAUUGGAAACUGUCGAACUAGAGUGUCGGAGGGGUAAGCGGAAUUCCUAGUGUAGCGGUGAAAUGCGUAGAUAUUAGGAGGAACACCAGUGGCGAAGGCGGCUUACUGGACGAUAACUGACGCUGAGGCUCGAAAGCGUGGGGAGCAAACAGGAUUAGAUACCCUGGUA